CAGUGAAAUGUGAUAAGUAAUGUGAAUUGCAGAAUUCAGUGAAUCAUUGAAUCUUUGAACGCACCUUGCACCUUUUGGUAUUCCAAAAGGUACACCUGUUUGAGUGUCAU
rnacentral:rRNA from 1 species